GCCACGAGCAGCUAAUGAAGGCUCCAUCCCUUUCCAUAGGCAUUCUUGGUGAAAAGCAUUUAGCAAAUGUCUGGAGUACGUUGAAAAUACAGUGUCUAGUUUGGCUUUGAGAGUAUCACAGACGGCUAGUUAAUUAUGUCUUGUUUAUUCACCAAGAAUGAAAAUUCCGAAAGCUGUUUCCUGGACCAACGACCAGCACUGGCGAGCCUGGGACCUGUGGGACGAGAUCCCACACAUCUCCAGCCCGCUGUUCCUGGGAAAAGCCACCUGCCAAUCAUCCUUGGAGCAGCAGCCAUUCUCAGGAUCUCCUACAUCACAGAUCACCUAAUAAACACAGGACCUGUCGACGACUGGAGAAAAGGAGAAACGCUGAAGCACACUGGGCAUUUUGGAAGCAUUUCAUCAUAAUAAAUUACCUUUGCCUUUACUGUUUCUGUUUACAGUUUCAUUAUAGUUAAUUGCACUUAGUUGUGAUUACUCAGUUACAAAGACAAUGGGUCACUCUAUAAUGGGUGAUGGUAUGCUUUUAGCUGUGCUUCCAUAGGUUGUAUCUGCCUUAGUAAAUGACUAAAUGUCUUUUUCACAAGUGAUUUUGAUUAUGUUUGUAGAAUUAAAUUAAAGGUAAACCUGUACAUUGGUUAAAAUAACAUCUGACUGCUACAAUAA